CCUACGGGCGGCUGCAGUGGGGGAUAUUGCACAAUGGGGGGAACCCUGAUGCAGCGACGCCGCGUGGGUGAAGAAGUGCUUCGGAAUGUAAAGCCCUAUCGGCAGGGACGAAGCAAGCCGGUACCUGACUAAGAGGCCCCGGCUACCUACGUGCCAGCAGCCGCGGUAAUACGUAGGGGGCGAGCGUUAUCCGGAUUCACUGGGUGUAAAGGGAGCGUAGCGGGCCAUGCAGGCCAGGGGUGAAAGCCCGGGGCCCAACCCAGGGACUGCCCUUGAAACUGUGCGGCUAGAGUGAGGGAGGGGCAGGCGGAAUUCCUGGUGUAGCGGUGAAAUGCGUAGAUAUCAGGAGGAACACCGGCGGCGAAGGCGGCCUGCUGGACCGCGACUGACGUUGAGGCUCGAAAGCGUGGGGAGCGAACAGGAUUAGAUACCCCUGUAGUC
rnacentral:rRNA from 1 species